rnacentral:rRNA from 1 species
GAUAAACGCUGGCGGCGCACAUAAGACAUGCAAGUCGAACGGACUUAACUCAUUCUUUUAGAUUGAGAGCGGUUAGUGGCGGACUGGUGAGUAACACGUAAGCAACCUGCCUAUUAGAGGGGAAUAACAGUGAGAAAUCAUUGCUAAUACCGCAUAUGCUCACAGUACCACAUGGUACAGUGAGGAAAGGAGAAAUCCGCUAAUAGAUGGGCUUGCGUCUGAUUAGCUAGUUGGUGGGGUAAAGGCCUACCAAGGCGACGAUCAGUAGCCGGACUGAGAGGUUGAACGGCCACAUUGGGACUGAGAUACGGCCCAGACUCCUACGGGAGGCAGCAGUGGGGAAUAUUGGGCAAUGGGGGAAACCCUGACCCAGCAACGCCGCGUGAGGGAAGAAGGCCUUCGGGUUGUAAACUUCUUUUACCAGGGACGAAGAACGUGACGGUACCUGGAGAAAAAGCAACGGCUAACUACGUG